rnacentral:tRNA from 2 species
GUCCGGGUAGCCAAGUGGGAAGGCGGCAAACUGCAAAUCUGCUCAACGGGGGUUCGAUUCCCCUCCCGGACU